rnacentral:rRNA from 1 species
UACGUAGGGGGCAAGCGUUGUCCGGAUUUAUUGGGCGUAAAGAGCGUGUAGGCGGCUCGGUAAGUCCGCUGUGAAAGUCGGGGGGCUCAACCCUCGAAUGCCGGUGGAUACUGUCGAGCUAGAGUGCGGAAGAGGCGACUGGAAUUCCUGGUGUAGCGGUGGAAUGCGCAGAUAUCAGGAGGAACACCGGUGGCGAAGGCGGGUCUCUGGGCAGUAACUGACGCUGGAGGAGCGAAAGCGUGGGGAGCGAACAGG